rnacentral:lncRNA from 1 species
UCUAAAAUUGCCAGCAAAGGUUACAAAACCUCGCGUUUCGCAUCCCGGAGGGGAGGGAGAAAGGGAGCCCGGGCAUGGGGGUGGGGCGAGCGCCAGAGAGUUUUGACUUAAACCCGUAUUUCCUCAUUUUCUGGAGGACCCCGCUAGCCCCUUACAGGCGCCUUUAUUUUCCUACUGGCAAAAACUCCUUUUAAAAAUAACGCAGGAGUCCAAAGGAGCCCCUCAGUCCGCAAUGUCCGUCCAAUUCCUUAUAUAGACUCGGGCCGCAGCCGGCGGCAGGGCCGUUGCCGCCCAUUAUUCUCCAAACAGGUACCGGGCGGCGCACAAGUCGCGGCCCUCUCGCCACAGGAACUGUCCAGACAAUAACAAGCAGCAGACAUUUCGCUGCGGAGCCAGCGGGCACAGCAUCGCCUCGAGAUAAGCAGAUAGGCAACCAACUUACACCGUCUCCCCAAACUGGAAAAGGCGACUGUGCAACCACCACCGCCACAUGUUCGGGUCUCGCUCUCUUUCGCUAUUAUUAAUAAUAAUAAUAUUAUUUAAACUCUCACGCCAGGCAGAGGGGAGUGCGUCCGGGCACAUCAGCACUAAUCAAUAAACACUGCGGCUGCAGCGCGGGCAGCAGCGCCCCGCGUCCGUCAGUCCGUCCGCCCCCUCCCCCACCCUCCUUCCACCCGAGACCCAGAGCCCUCUGAGCUCCAUUAUCCGGCUUCAGCGCUCCGCGCGUCCGGGCCAGGUAACAACUUCCCCCAAACCGAAAGAGAACCCCGGAGACACACGCACUGCACCCCGUCCCGGCACGGAGGUGGCGUCCUCCCGGGAGGGGAUCUGUCUGUGGUGCUUCCCGGUCCCCGGGACCAGAAAUCCUCGCCAAGCAAUCUCUGACCAUCUCAAGACCAGUGGAAGAAACCCUGGGCUCCAGAGGAACUCGAGAGGAGAGCUACUGACCGGUGCCUCUCCAAGGAAAAGCAGACCCAGAGCAGAGCCCAAGAGACAGCCGUGGUCCAGCGAGCUGCAGGGGACAGGGGACCCAGGGACAGGAGGAGGAACAGCAAGGGCCUGGAGGCUGCUGCAGUCCAUGCACUUGACAGUAAGGAAAUAUGGAUGUUGUAGAGACACAGCAUGAAUUUUCUUUUUUUUUUUUCAAAAAUAGAAGGGAGUAAGAAUUCUCUUUGCACCAUCACAGUGCCUAGCCCAAUUUAGAAUUUCUGCAAAACCCAGUCCCUGGUACUUUAUAAAGACACAGAAGAAACUGGCACAUAAGGCAGACAGAUAGGACUUGACCAUCCUCCUGGCUGCAGACUCCGUAGGUCAGUGUCAGGAUCAUCCAGCCUUAAAGAUCAUCCUCCCCCACAUUGGCUGAGUGCCGGGCGAAGACCUGAAAAGCCAGUCACAGCCCAAUUCAGUCACAAGGGAAAAUGACAUUUGUAAUUAGUAUUCCGAUUCAAUUCCAUAGUUUCCAGGUAGAAAUGUAAAGCAAAACCCACAGGAAUCCCGGCUGACAGUGCAUUUCAAGAAGAUACAAACAAGAUCAGGAGGCCCCGGGCAGCUCGAUGCCUGAAUGGCAAUGGCCUUGGUCACCGGCUUCCUUUGGGAAUCUCAGGGCAAAGGCGCGGCAAGGGUCCGCAGGAAGCUCUCAGUGUCACAGCCAGCAAACUUGGGGACAAAAGCUCUGACUUUAUGGGGACCAUGUUUGCAAUGAAGAAUCAGGGUUCUGGGGAACAGCCAACGCACAGCCCUGCCUGCUGAGUGGGAAACGCCCUUGAACUCUGGAGGUCUGUCAAAACCAUUUCCAUCAGGGACGGCCCCGCCUUCCACCUGCUGGUAACCAGAGAACACGGAGGCACUUCUUGUUCUGGUGGAUUUUUCUUGAUUCCUGGACCUGCCAGGAAUGUAACUUGGCAGGGGGUGGGGGGUGGGGGGUUAGCCAGCCAGGCCUGAGGUGUGGGAGGCUGAGGCAUUUCAGCAGCUGCUCGGGGGCGGCGGCACAUUGCAAUU